GGGAUCACCAACCUCACACCAGGAGGGACUCGGUGGUUUGUUCCUGCAGGUUUGAGAUUAUGGCACCAAUCCCCUGGGAAGCGCCUCCCUGGAGUGGGGUGGGCAAAACCUCAGGUUUGGCCUCCUGCUGGGAUCCCAUCAGAGCUCUCCCAUCUCCCAUGUCUCUUAAUUCCUUAAGGAGCUCAGCUCUCCGCUCUCUUUGCCGGCUCCUCACCACCUUCUCCUUUACCUUUUGGGUUCAUGCCGGCGAAAAGGGGGUGGUUUAAUGCGAUUAUUCCGGUAAAACCCCCGUAAGAGGAUUCCCAGGGCUUGGCUUCACAGCCCUGCAGGGGCUAUUGGGCAGCGUGUGCAUGGGGAUGAGCUGGAUAUGGGAUAGUGGGAAGCCCGGGAGAGGCUUUGUAAGCUGAGCCAAACCGUGGUGUCCCUGCGAGGGUGACCCUGGGAUCUGCAGCCCCCGGGGGUGCCACGUGCUGCCUUUCCCUGGGACAGGAUGGACAUUUCCAGUGGUGUGGAUCCUGCUCACCCUGGAGAGAGGUGGAUGGAAUAGGCAGCAGAAACACAGAGAAGAGGGAUGGAGGGCUGGGAGAGCAGGAUUCCUCUGGGAGCUCCCCUCUGGAUGAGAAAAGUAACAUUUCCCCCCAAGGACAUGAACAACCAGAACUCCGUGGUGGACCAGAUAUGUACGAUGACAUGAGUUAUUUUCCUUUUGUGUGCAUAUAUAGUUAAACUAUACAACAGGAUUCACUGAGUCAA